GCAGACACAUUCCAGCCAAUCAGCAGCAGACCCUCCCUCCCAGACCCUCCCACCUCCUGGACAGCAUCCCUUUUACAUUCAUUGUGAAGCUGCAUUCUUCGUGAGCUGUCCAGGAGGUGGGAGGGUCUGGGAGGGAGGGUCUGCUGCUGAUUGGCUGGAAUGUGUCUG
rnacentral:miRNA from 1 species